ensembl:lncRNA
AUUACAAUUAAAAAGGCAGACAAAACUCAGAGGUCUAUUAUAGUGCAAGUGCAUUCUGGGCUCCAAGUCAGCCGAGGAAAGUCUGUUUAUGUGACCAACAAGGAUCUGCAGCUCAGUCUCCCUGAUGAUGUGAAUUCCUGCAAGGUGGAAGUGGUAUUGAAUGAACCCGUGACACAAAGAGUUGGCAAACUCACACCUCAGGUUUUUGACUGUAACUUCUUACCUGAUGAGGUCAAGUACAUUCAUAAUGGUAGUCCUUUACUGGAGGAGGACACAGUGAUGCUAAGAAUCUACAGAUUUACACAUUCUGAGACUUUCAUAGAGACUGUUCUGCUGAGGGUGAGUGUGGUGGACCCCCAUGACAGCCUUAUCCAGUUUGGGAGAACUCCUUUGGUGGUCCCUGAGUUCUACAGCUUGUCUAACAUCAUUGACAGCAGAGUACUGACAUUCCAGAGCAGACCAGGAGCGAUCUGCAAUGUCCGUCUUCUCAACUCUGAAACUAGCAUGCCAGCAUUUGGACAGCUGGUCAAGGGCGAAUCCUCCAUGUCAGUCCCAAAGACAGACAUAAGAAGGUCCUCUGGAAAUAACUCAGAGGCAAGAAUGGGUAAGUAUGGCACCUGCAUCCAUGGCGCUAAGGAAGUACGUUUUUUAAAGGCCAACUGUGAGGAAUUCCUGAAAUCAGACUAUAAGUACCAGCAUCUCAAUCCUCCAUCCCCCGAGAUUGAUUACAUUACAAUCAGAGUGGAGCUGCGGGACAACAUCUCCAGGGCACUGUUGGAGACAGAAAGCACUUGGAUCCCAGUCCUAAUUCAUGGUGCCAUGCAGAACCAGCCCCCCCAUGCUGCCUUCAUGUCAAUGUUCAUCCUGGAGGUGGACCAGUUCAUUCUCACUCCCAUGACCACUGCUGCACUCGAUGCCAAGGACGAUGAAACCACUCAAGACCAGUUGGUGUUCAACAUUACUAAGCCCCCACCAGAGGGGUAUGUCACUCACCUGGAUGACCAUACCAAGCCAAUCACCUCCUUUAUCUGGCAAGACUUGCAUGAGAUGAAAAUUGCGUAUCAGCCCCCUAACAUAAGCUACACUGGGAGAAGGAACUAUGAGGUUGAGUUCCAGGCCAUUGACACUUCCUUUGCUACCAGUCCUACCAUACUGGUUCACUUCUCAGUCCGGACCGCAGAAACAAAUGCUCCUCGAGUGUCCUGGAAUAUGGGACUGGAUUUACUGGAAGGUCAAUCCAGACCAAUCACCUGGGAGAAUUUGCAGAUUGUGGACAGUGACAACAUCGAUGCAGUCUAUUUGGUGGCUGUGGAGGGACCUUCACAUGGGCAGCUGAGUGUGCGAGGUGGGAAAGGUUUCAUGUUCAAGGUGCAAGACCUGCAUGAGGGUGUAGUGGUGUACCAUCAUUCAGACAGCGACACCAUAAGGGACCAUAUAGUGUUCCGCAUCUCUGAUGGUCAGCACAGCAUUCGACACAAGUUCCCCAUCAAUAUUCUCCCAAAAGACGAUACACCUCCAUUCCUCAUCAACAAUGUGGCAUUUGAGGUGCAGGAGGGGGGUUCUGUUCUGGUGGAGGAAUACAUGUUAUUAGCCUCAGACUUGGACUCCAGCGAUGACUACAUCUUCUAUAAGGUUCUUACAGUUCCACGAGCCGGAGAGUUGAUUAAGAGGUCAUCUGCCCAGUUCCCAGGUGUGCCAGUGACUAGUUUCCUGCAGAGAGAUUUGUCUCAGGGCUUAAUUUAUUACAGACACUUUGGUGAUGAGGUAUUUGAAGAUUCAUUUGACUUCAUCCUCUCUGACAGCCACCAACCCCCAAAUCUGUCAGAAAGACAUACUGUGGUGGUUCAUGUUUCUCCAGUAAAGGACCAGCUGCCAGAGGAGGUGCCAGGCAGCAUCCGUGCCAUCACAGUGAAGGAGACAGAAAUUGUCCACCUCACCCAGAGCCACCUGCACUUCAGGGACCAAGAGUCUCCUGAGACAGACCUCAUGUAUUCCAUCAUUCAGCCCUGUUUCAGCCCCACAGCAUCCAGGUAUGCUUAUGGUGGGGAUGCCGGCAGGCUGUUCUAUACUGACAGUGCAUACUCCAUGAAGAAGGAUCCCACUGUUCCAGUGCUGAAGUCUUUUACUCAGCAUGCAGUGAAUCACCUGAAAGUGGGGUACAUGCCCCCCCUCGAAGACAUUGGACCAGAGCCUCUUUUUGUGCAGUUUAUCUUCUCUCUGAAUGACCAGCACGGUGGCACUCUGAGCGGCCUUGUCUUCAACAUUACCGUGAUGCCAGUGGACAACCAGCCUCCUGAGAUGUUCACCAACUUGAUGAGGGUGGAGGAGGGAGGAAGUGGCUUCGUGACCGAAGAGCACCUCCUGGUGCGGGACACGGAUAGCCAGGACACCCAGCUGAUGUUGCAGCUUCAAACAGCUCCUCGGCAUGGACAGCUGGAGCUGCAGGGUAUAGCGUUACUGUCAGGGGACAACUUUACUGUCCAGGACCUGAGGAGGCUCAGAGUCAGGUAUAUUCACGAUGACAGCGAAACUCUUGAAGACAGUAUUGACCUCAAAGCAACAGAUGGCACAAACUCUGCUUAUGGAUCACUCUCUAUCCUGCCUGUGAAUGAUGAGCCGCCCCUGCUCGGUGCCGGGCUACGAUCAGGCCUGGAGUGUGCAGAGGGGGGACGUGUGCAGGUGAGCGCGGACUACCUGUCUGCCACGGAUGCAGACAGUGAUGACGCCGAGCUCAUGUACAUGUUGGCACGGAGGCCAGCCCAAGGAGAACUGCAGAGAGCAGGCAUGGCAGUGGAAAAAUUCUCUCAGUGGGAUGUUGUCCAGGGGUUGAUCUUCUACGUGCACACAGGUGGUGAGAUCGGACCCCACCCUGUCUUAGACCCCGUCACCUUGAUUGUGUCAGAUGGAGAAGCUGGCCCUCUGGAGGGCUGCUGCCAUGGAGAUGCUCCACCACCACCUGUCCCUUUGCAUGGAUUCCUUCCUGUAUACGACCUCAACAUCACUGUACUUCCUGUCAAUAACCUGCCCCCUGUUAUCACACUAGGAGACAUGAUUGUGGUGGAUGAGGGUUCCUCUGCUUGUCUCUGUGGGGGGUUUCUGGGGGCAACUGAUCCUGAUACACCCCAGGACCAGCUCCUGUUUUCCAUUGAUGUUCCACCCCAGUAUGGCUUUAUAGAGAACACCUUGCCCUCACCCGGGUUUGAGAAGAGCAACGCAGGACUCAGAGUUUACUCUUUCAGCUGGCUGCACCUCAAUGCAGGGUACAUCAACUAUGUCCAGUCUCAGCAUGAAGGGACAGAGCCUGGAGCUGACCACUUUGUUGUGACAGUCAGCGAUGGGGUGCAGAGGUCAGCCUCAGUUCCCUUCUACAUAAUCAUCAGUCCUACAAAUGAUGAGAUGCCCACACUGCUCCUCAGCAACUUCUCUGUGAUGGAGGGAGGCAUGAAGGACUUGACUCCACAUAUUUUGGAUGCGGUGGAUUUAGAUGUCCCCACAGACACACUCACCCUCUCAGUUGUGGUGCCACCAGCCCACGGGAUGCUACUGAAUGGAAUCUACGGAGAGCAGAUGAGCCGCUACAGGGAGAUGGGACCUGAACUCCUCCAGAGAAGCCUCAGAAUGAAGAUCAUAUACAUGCACGAUGACACGGAAACCCUCAAGGACGCUUUCACCAUGCAGCUGACAGAUGGCAGGCACACAGUCCAGGGGACGGCGCACGUCCGCGUCCUACCAGUCAAUGAUGAAAAGCCACGAAAUACUGGUCUGGAAGUGGAGGCAAUGGAGAAGAGAAUUAUCUCCAGUGUGGUAUUGGAUGCAGAAGACCUGGACACCCCCAUACAUAAAUUGUACUACAUCCUCAGUGUUGGCCCCAAGUUCGGACAGCUGCAGAUGAAGGUCAGCCGCUGGAUUCAUCUGAGACCAGGCCAGAACUUCACGCAAGAUGAUGUGGAGAUGAACCGCCUGUGGUACCUGCACACAACCAUGCAAGGAACGAAAGGUCACGACAGCUUCCACUUUUUCCUCACCGAUGGGGAGCACAAAUCUUUGCCCCACAGCUUCUUCAUCUCGCUCCGCACAGUACGAAAAGGGGACAUCACCCUUGUCACCAGGCCCAUCACCUUGAUGGAAGGUCACAGGGUCGUCCUGAACACAGACAUCCUGUUGGCCAUGGACAACACAGGCAAAGCAGAAGAGCUGGUGUACACGGUAUCGGUUCCUCCGAACCACGGGCACCUUCAUGCAGUGCAGCACCCUGGCAUCGCCCUCACCAGCUUCACCCAGCUGGAUGUGGCAGCCCAUCGAGUAUGCUAUACCCACGAUAACAGCCGCUCAGCCAAGCAAGAUUCCUUCAGCUUUGUCAUCAGCAAUGGUGUCACAUCGAAAAGUGGCUCCCUGCUCUUCAAUGUGGAACAUGGUGACCGCAUCCCUCCUACCCUAGUGACCAACAAAGGGCUCCAGCUCAUGGAGGGUACAGUGGCACUAAUCUCUCAGGACAGUCUAGAGCUGACCGACCCAGACACCACAGUGGAUAACUUGACUUAUGUUGUAACUCAGCAACCCCUUCACGGAAGGUUACUACUAAGAGGACAGCCUCUCUCCCAACCAAGAUUCACACAGGGUGAUGUGAACAACUUGGACCUGACCUACCGGCAGCAGAGUGUAAAGGCCCAGAUGGAUAAGUUUGCUUUCCUGCCCUCCGAUGGUACAAACAAAGGGUUUCUGCUGCAUGGCCAGCUGAGAGAGGAUCCAGUCAUUUUCAUAAUACAGGUGGAGCAUGUAGAUAAAAGCCCCCCAAGCCUGGUGACCAAGAGAAGCCCUAGUACAGUGGAGAACCUGCAUGAUGGCAGGCAGGGCAUCUACAUCACCUCCAGAGACCUGCGGGCAUCUGACCCUGACAGUCCAGAUCAGGAGCUGGAGUUCACUAUCCUCAGACCACCACAUUUUGGGCACUUAGAGAACAUCCUCACAGGGGGAUACAUAAGAGGCCGCUUCACACAGAAGGACCUGAACCAGCGUGCGGUGCUGUACAUUAUUGACCCCAGUGUGGAAGUGACAGGAGACAGCUUUGAGCUCCAAGUCAGUGACUCUGCAGGAAACACCAUGCUGCCGGAAGUCCUGGAGCUGAAAUGGUCUCGUGUAGAGCUGUCAGCGACGUGUUUCCGUGUUUGUGAGAACAUGGGGGUGUUGCCCCUUCAAGUGACACGCACCGGGAACAGCGCAGACCCUGCCUAUGUCAGCAUCCAGGUGGAAGAGGGCACUGCCAAAGUGGGGAAAGAUUUUACUCAUAGCUCAGCCAGUUUGAUCCAGUUUGAUACAGGGGUCAAUAUCAAAAGUUGGAAAAUCAAUCUUAAGGAUGACGGACUGGAGGAGAACCAUGAGAACUUUGAGGUGGUCUUGAAAGCGCAGAAGAAUGCAGUUCUGGGUCAGAAAAACCGAGCAACUGUAGAAAUUGUGGACCCCAGAGGAGCGCAGGUCCCCUACUCACAAGCAGAUUUCCCCUCGGAAGACCACCGGCCUCCUCUUUGGGGAGACAUCCCGAAACGUCACCCCUUCCCGGACUACACUGCGGGAGAGGUACAGGAUCAGGCCUACCCAAGUGCACGGAGGAGGCAACUGAGAGUCCUGGGCAACCAGGAGCACAAAGUAAGAGGUACUGGGAAGCCCAGUGGCAGCAUCUGCCCUGCAGGCUGGACCUCCCACAAGGGGAACUGUUACACCCUGAGCCAGGGCAGGGCCAGCUGGAGCAGCGCUCAACAAGCCUGCACCUUAAUGUUCAACAGUAAUUUGGCAAGUGUCCACUCCAAAAAAGACAUGAAGUGGCUAUGGAAGUUUGCCAGCAAGCAGCCGUUCUGGAUCGGGCUGAGUGGCACACCAGGGCAGUGGGCCUGGACUGAUGGCCGCUUCAUGACAUUCUCCAGGCUGAGGAGCCACAGCAAUGCUGAAUAUCAGUCCCUGGAUAGCACUGGUCUCUACUGUGUGCUGGCCCAGAACCAGAGGACUUGGACACCAGAGAACUGCACUGCAGGCCCAGAAUAUAAAUACAUAUGCUCCGCAGCAGUCCAGGACAUCCUCAUGUCACAGCAAAGACCAUCUAGUACAAAAUAG